AAAUAAGAAACAAUAAAUUGUAUUUAGUUUCGACCUAAAAUUUAGAUUAUAAAUCCUUAUUUA
rnacentral:tRNA from 1 species